rnacentral:rRNA from 1 species
UACGUAGGGGGCAAGCGUUUGUCCGGAAUCAUUGGGCGUAAAGCGCGCGUAGGCGGCUCGGAAAGUCGGUCGUGAAAUGCCGGGGCUCAACCCCGGGACUGCGUCCGAUACUCUCGAGCUGGAGGCAGGUAGGGGAGAUCGGAAUUCCUGGUGUAGCGGUGAAAUGCGCAGAUAUCAGGAGGAACACCGGUGGCGAAGGCGGGUCUCUGGGCCGAAACUGACGCUGAGGAGCGAAAGCGUGGGGAGCAAACAGG